GUGUGUGUGUGUGUGUGUGCGUCCUGGCCCUGCCAAAAGUGGGGAUUGUAACAUAUCAUUAAACUUAGUACCAAGGUGUUAUGACUCACCUUGUUUGCCUGGGCCCUGCAUAUAUUUGGUAAUGUGACGUAUGGCUGAGACAAACACCUAGGGCAUGAGAGCCUUGUGCCUGGGUCCUGCCCACAAGGAGCCUUUUGGCUUAUCUCUGCAUCCAUGAACUAGGAGAUGUGACUCUUCUUUUCUGUCUGGGUUCUGCAAAAACAAGUGAUUGUGACAUAUCAUCAAACCCAGCAACUAGACGAUGUGAUUUUUCUUCCCUGCUUGAGCCCUGGAUAUGCUGUGCAUUGUGAUAUAUGGCUGGGUCCAACAUCAAGGAGAGAUUGUGACAUAUCUCUGGAACCAGAACCUUGGUGAUGUGACUCUUCUCUCCUGCUGAAGCCAUGCCCACACAAGGGAAAGUGACUUAUCACUGGGCCCAGCACACAGCGCUAUUCACAGGGAAAAUAGUGACACAUCUGUGGGGUUCUCACCGAAAUGAUGUGACUCUCUUGCCUGGGCUCACCUCUCAAGGGAAUUUUGACAUAUUACUGGACCAAGCACCUAGGUGAUGUGGCUCUGACAGAGGAGAAAUUGUGAUGUACCACUGUUUCCAGCACCUAAGAGAUCUGACUCUCCUCUUUUGCAUAGGCCCUGCAUUUAUUGUGUAUUGUGACAUAUGGCUUGGUCCAACACCUAGGUGGUGUGACUCUCUACUUCUUCCUGUGCCAUGCCAAAGAAGAGGAUUGUGACAUAUCACUGGAUCCAGCACCUAGGUGAUGUAAAUCUUUUCUUUUGCUGAGCCAUGAAUAUUUUUGGUAUUGUGACAUGUCACUGGACCCAACACCUACAGGAUUGGGUCAGAGGCUACUGAAUAAGCCCUGUCCAUAGGUGGCCUUGUGACAUAUGUCUGCCUCUAUCACCAAAGUGAUGUGACACUUUUUCUGCCUGCAUCCUGCACAUAGAGAAGAUUGUGACAUAUCGCUGGGCCCAGUAACCAGGUGAUGUGUCUUUUCUGGCAGGUCUUUUCCCACAGGGAGCAUUGUGAAAUAUCACUGGGCUCAGCCCCCAGGUUAUGUGACCUUUCUGCCUUGCCCUGCUCCCAGGAAAUGUUGUGACAUCCCUCAUACAGCACCCAGGUGAUGCGACUCUUCUGCUCAUUUUCUACUUAUACUUGGGAUUGUGACAAAUAUCCUGGUCCAACUCAUAGGUGCUAUGAUGAUUCCCAUACCUGGAAUCAGCUAAUAGGGGAGAUAGUGUCUCUUGUAUUGUAGCUUAGGGAAAAAAGUAACAUCUUGGGCCUCCUCUUUGUAUGAAUGUCAUAAAGAAUUACCAAUC
rnacentral:lncRNA from 1 species